GGGAUAUGAGGAGUGGUUGGAUCUCGCGAUCUCAAUGCGAGUUGGGUGUCCACCCCAAGCCUGGUUACGACAAUUUGGGCACUCUCACUGUCACCGAUCUGAUCCC